AAAGAGAGACUUGGAAAGACCCAGCUGAGAAGAAGGGGCAGACGCAGGAGUCUGUGUCACCAAGACGGCGCUGCACACCUGAGCUCACAUGCUUGGCGAAUAUUUCCCAAGAGAGCCUGGCGCUCGGAGUCUGGCCAAGUCCAAAGGUUUGGUGAGAAGUGCUCCACGCAUCGGACCAAGAAGAGCAACUACAACACCUUAAAAUCUGUGAUGACCCAGUUAUGAAUUUCUUUGUUCUUUAUUCCAUUCCCUCAACAAUAAAAGAUUCUUUACUUCUGACAUCAGCUACCACACCUGACUUCUUCAGACUGACGGCCAGCUGUGCUUGCUGGCAGGAGGCCCACAGCAAGAUGCUUUGGCUCAGGCUCCUUCUCUGCAGCAUCGGCCCAGCCUCCUCACUCAGCACUCCUGCUCCUCGCGCUCCCCACCAAACUCUCAGUCUGCAGGCUGGGCUUCAGGGACCUCAGCAUCUUCUCUGCAGCCCCAGGGAACCUGGUGCUUUGUGAGAGCCAAGACUUUGCCACUGUGAGAUCACUAACUCCUUCAUGUAUUCUAAUCCACAUCUCUGCUCACUUGCAUCUCCCACAUUUCCUUUGAGGCCUCCUUAGUCUUCUCCCAAAUCACAAAAAUAGAAAAUUCUCAACCCUGUCCUGAACUGGUAUCACACCUUGACCAACCUUUGUAGUUAACCAACUACACGUGAGCCUUUCAAAGGCUGAGCAAAUCCUCAGCUCUCAGACAGUCAAUGGCGCGUAGUAUGUGAUUAACUGAUGGAUGAAGGAGUGAGUGGAUGGAUGAGAAACCUCUUCCCUUCCUGCUCAGCA